AAUUUGGGCAAUGGGGGCAACCCUGAUCCAGCCAUCCUGCGUGUGCGAUGAAGGCCUUAGGGGUGUUAAGCACUUUUGUCAGGGGAGAAAAGGCUCUGCUUAAUAUCUGGAGUGUCAGACGCUAUCUCCUUACUAAGCACCGGCUAACUAAGUGCCAGCAGCCGCGGUAAUACGUAGGGUGCAAGCGUUAAUCGGAAUUACUGGGCGUAAAGCGUGCGCAGGCGGUUCGGCAAGAAGGAUGUGAAAUCCCAGGGCUUAACCUUGGAACUGCAUUCUUAACUGCCGGGCUAGAGUAUGUCAGAGGGGGGUAGAAUUCCGCGUGUAGCAGUGAAAUGCGUAGAGAUGCGGAGGAAUACCGAUGGCGAAGGCAGCCCCCUGGGAUAAUACUGACGCUCAUGCACGAAAGCGUGGGGAGCAAAC
rnacentral:rRNA from 1 species